rnacentral:tRNA from 1 species
GGAUAUAUAGCUCAAGUGGUAGAGCACUUGCUUAGCACCCAGGAGGUCCUGGGUUCAAUCCCCAGUACCUCCU